rnacentral:rRNA from 1 species
CCUAAGGCCAGCGAGAGAACUGUUGUUAAGGAACUCGGCAAAAUGACCCCGUAACUUAGGGAUAAGGGGUGCCACCAUCAGGUGGCCGAAGAGAAUAGGCCCAAGCGACUGUUUACCAAAAACAUAGGUUUCUGCUAAGUCGCAAGACGAUGUAUAGGAGCUGACGCCUGCCCGGUGCUGGAAGGUUAAGGGGAUCUGUUAGAGCAAUCGAAGCAG